ACAUGCUUACAACAAAGUGUUAAUGCAUUGGAUCCCAUUAGAACUCCAUAGAUAAGCGUUCUCGAGAUAGAGUAGUAUUGCGAUGGGUGACUGCCCAAGAAGUCCUAGUGUUUUACAUGCA
rnacentral:rRNA from 1 species